rnacentral:rRNA from 1 species
AACGUAGGAGACAAACGUUAUCCGGAGUUACUGGGCGUAAAGGGCGUGUAGGUGGUAUCGUAAGUCUGGCGUGAAAUUUCUCGGCUUAACCGAGGCAGGUCGUCGGAUACUGCGAGGCUAGAGGACGGUAGAGGCGUGUGGAAUUCCGGGUGUAGUGGUGAAAUGCGUAGAGAUCCGGAGGAACACCAGUGGCGAAGGCGACACGCUGGGCCGUACCUGACACUGAUGCGCGACAGCAUGGGAGCAACAGG